GACGAACGCUGGCGGCGUGCCUAAUACAUGCAAGUAGAACGCUGAAGAGAGGAGCUUGCUCUUCUUGGAUGAGUUGCGAACGGGUGAGUAACGCGUAGGUAACCUGCCUGGUAGCGGGGGAUAACUAUUGGAAACGAUAGCUAAUACCGCAUAAAAUUGAUUAUUGCAUGAUAAUUAAUUGAAAGAUGCAAUUGCAUCACUACCAGAUGGACCUGCGUUGUAUUAGCUAGUUGGUGAGGUAACGGCUCACCAAGGCGACGAUACAUAGCCGACCUGAGAGGGUGAUCGGCCACACUGGGACUGAGACACGGCCCAGACUCCUACGGGAGGCAGCAGUAGGGAAUCUUCGGCAAUGGGGGGAACCCUGACCGAGCAACGCCGCGUGAGUGAAGAAGGUUUUCGGAUCGUAAAGCUCUGUUGUAAGAGAAGAACGGGUGUGAGAGUGGAAAGUUCACACUGUGACGGUAUCUUACCAGAAAGGGACGGCUAACUACGUGCCAGCAGCCGCGGUAAUACGUAGGUCCCGAGCGUUGUCCGGAUUUAUUGGGCGUAAAGCGAGCGCAGGCGGUUAGAUAAGUCUGAAGUUAAAGGCUGUGGCUUAACCAUAGUAUGCUUUGGAAACUGUUUAACUUGAGUGCAGAAGGGGAGAGUGGAAUUCCAUGUGUAGCGGUGAAAUGCGUAGAUAUAUGGAGGAACACCGGUGGCGAAAGCAGCUCUCUGGUCUGUAACUGACGCUGAGGCUCGAAAGCGUGGGGAGCAGACAGGAUUAGAUACCCUGGUAGUCCACGCCGUAAACGAUGAGUGCUAGGUGUUAGGCCCUUUCCGGGGCUUAGUGCCGCAGCUAACGCAUUAAGCACUCCGCCUGGGGAGUACGACCGCAAGGUUGAAACUCAAAGGAAUUGACGGGGGCCCGCACAAGCGGUGGAGCAUGUGGUUUAAUUCGAAGCAACGCGAAGAACCUUACCAGGUCUUGACAUCCCUCUGACCGCUCUAGAGAUAGAGUUUUCCUUCGGGACAGAGGUGGCAGGUGGUGCAUGGUUGUCGUCAGCUCGUGUCGUGAGAUGUUGGGUUAAGUCCCGCAACGAGCGCAACCCCUAUUGUUAGUUGCCAUCAUUGAGUUGGGCACUCUAGCGAGACUGCCGGUAAUAAACCGGAGGAAGGUGGGGAUGACGUCAAAUCAUCAUGCCCCUUAUGACCUGGGCUACACACGUGCUACAAUGGCUGGUACAACGAGUCGCAAGCCGGUGACGGCAAGCUAAUCUCUGAAAGCCAGUCUCAGUUCGGAUUGUAGGCUGCAACUCGCCUACAUGAAGUCGGAAUCGCUAGUAAUCGCGGAUCAGCACGCCGCGGUGAAUACGUUCCCGGGCCU
rnacentral:rRNA from 1 species